UGGGGAAUCUUCCGCAAUGGACGAAAGUCUGACGGAGCAACACCGCGUGAGUGAAGAAGGCCUUCGGGUUGUAAAACUCUGUCUUCAGGGAAGAAAAAAAUGACGGUACCUGAGGAGGAAGCCACGGCUAACUACGUGCCAGCAGCCGCGGUAAUACGUAGGUGGCAAGCGUUGUCCGGAAUUACUGGGCGUAAAGGGCGCGUAGGCGGGUAAUUAAGUCAGAUGUGUAAACUGCAGGCUUAACCUGGAGAUUGCAUCUGAAACUGGCUAUCUUGAGUGCAGGAGAGGACAGUGGAAUUCCUAGUGUAGCGGUGAAAUGCGUAGAUAUUAGGAGGAACACCAGUGGCGAAGGCGGCUGUCUGGACUGUAACUGACGCUGAGGCGCGAAAGCGUGGGGAGCAAACAGG
rnacentral:rRNA from 1 species